UACGAACUGUGCAAACGUUAUUCGGAAUCACUGGGCUUAAAGGGUGCGUAGGCGGUCAUUUAAGUAGGGUGUGAAAGCCCCCGGCUCAACCGGGGAACUGCGUCCUAAACUGGGUGACUCGAGUGAGAUAGAGGUGUGUGGAACUUCCAGUGGAGCGGUGAAAUGUGUUGAUAUUGGAAGGAACGCCGGUGGCGAAAGCGACACACUGGGUCUCAACUGACGCUGAGGCACGAAAGCCAGGGGAGCGAACGGG
rnacentral:rRNA from 1 species